CCAAUCCCUUUAUUGUGGCGGGAAUGAACUCUGUAUAACUUCCGGGUCAAUCAACUGCAUGUUCCCUGCUCCUCUGGCUGCUGUUGUCCCUGUGGCUGGCGUACUUGUCAGAUAUUGACAGCUUUUACACUGCAUACUAGUUGACAGCUUGCAAUAACCCGGCCGAUUCAUUCAUCUUUACACCGUCUCACAAUCGACUCAACGGUCAGGUUUUUUUUUCCCCCGCGAUCAUCCCUGAUCAGCGCGGGAUGGCGAGCCACCCAACCACCGCUACGUUGCGGUAGGACUUGUAAUCCUAUGGAUUAAAUCGAACUGUUUCCACAUGACCCAUCACAGGUCAAUGAAACUAAACUGAUCUCAUACCGGACUAUACCUCAUCCCACCUCCUUUUGGAACUUAAUAAGUUGUUUUGUAUUGUCAAUAUUAUUUUUGUUUGUGAUAUAUAUGUGCAUAUAUUUUUUUUUUUCCCUUUUUGUACAUCUGUCUAUAUAAUUUGCAUAACAAACAUAAUAUAUAUAUUUUUGAGCUCUA